CAAGUCGAGGGGCAACGGGGAUGUUAGCUUGCUAAUAUCUGCCGGCGACCGGCGCACGGGUGAGUAACGCGUAUGCGACCUGCCCGUCACAGGGGGAUAAUCCGGAGAAAUCCGGUCUAAUACCGCAUAAUAUCGUGAAGCUGCAUGGUUUUGCGAUUAAAGGAGCGAUCCGGUGACGGAUGGGCAUGCGUGACAUUAGCUAGUCGGCGGGGUAACGGCCCCCGAGGCGACGAUGUAUAGGGGUUCUGAGAGGAAGGUCCCCCACACUGGUACUGAGACACGGACCAGACUCCUACGGGAGGCAGCAGUGAGGAAUAUUGGUCAAUGGGCUUACGCCUGAACCAGCCAAGUCGCGUGAGGGAAGACUGCCCUAUGGGUUGUAAACCUCUUUUGUCAGGGAGCAACGCCGGCUACGUGUAGCCGGACUGAGAGUACCCGAAGAAAAAGCAUCGGCUAACCCCGUGCCAGCAGCCGCGGUAAUACGGAGGAUGCGAGCGUUAUCCGGAUUUAUUGGGUUUAAAGGGUGCGCAGGCGGAAGAUCAAGUCAGCGGUAAAAUUGAGAGGCUCAACCUCUUCGAGCCGUUGAAACUGGUUUUCUUGAGUGAGCGAGAAGUAUGCGGAAUGCGUGGUGUAGCGGUGAAAUGCAUAGAUAUCACGCAGAACUCCGAUUGCGAAGGCAGCAUACCGGCGCUCAACUGACGCUCAUGCACGAAAGUGUGGGUAUCGAACAGGAUUAGAUACCCUGGUAGUCCACACAGUAAACGAUGAAUACUAAUUGUUCGGGGAGAAUGAUCCCUGAGUGAUACAGCGAAAGCGUUAAGUA
rnacentral:rRNA from 1 species